UACGUAGGGUCCGAGCGUUGUCCGGAAUUACUGGGCGUAAAGAGCUCGUAGGUGGUUUGUCGCGUUGUUCGUGAAAACUCACAGCUUAACUGUGGGCGUGCGGGCGAUACGGGCAGACUGGAGUACUGCAGGGGAGACUGGAAUUCCUGGUGUAGCGGUGGAAUGCGCAGAUAUCAGGAGGAACACCGGUGGCGAAGGCGGGUCUCUGGGCAGUAACUGACGCUGAGGAGCGAAAGCCAGGGGAGCGAACGGG
rnacentral:rRNA from 1 species